GACGAACGCUGGCGGCGUGCCUAAUACAUGCAAGUCGAACGAGAGCGCCCGGUGCUUGCACUGGUCAAUCUAGUGGCGAACGGGUGAGUAACACGUGGGUAACCUGCCCAUCAGAGGGGGAUAACAUCCGGAAACGGAUGCUAAAACCGCAUAGGUCUUCGAACCGCAUGGUUUGAAGAGGAAAAGCGGCGCUAGCUUCUGCUGUUGGUUGGACCCGCGUCGCAUUAGCUAGUUGGUGAGGUAACGGCUCACCAAGGCCGUGAUGCAUAGCCGACCUGAGAGGGUGAUCGGCCACAUUGGGACUGAGACACGGCCCAAACUCCUACGGGAGGCAGCAGUAGGGAAUCUUCCGCAAUGGACGCAAGUCUGACGGAGCAACGCCGCGUGAGUGAAGAAGGUUUUCGGAUCGUAAAACUCUGUUGUUAGAGAAGAACAAGUGCUAGAGUAACUGUUAGCGCCUUGACGGUAUCUAACCAGAAAGCCACGGCUAACUACGUG
rnacentral:rRNA from 1 species